GUGGGGAAUAUUGCACAAUGGGGGAAACCCUGAUGCAGCGACGCCGCGUGAAGGAAGAAGUAUCUCGGUAUGUAAACUUCUAUCAGCAGGGAAGAUAAUGACGGUACCUGACUAAGAAGCCCCGGCUAAUUACGUGCCAGCAGCCGCGGUAAUACGUAAGGGGCAAGCGUUAUCCGGAUUUACUGGGUGUAAAGGGAGCGUAGACGGAAUGGCAAGUCUGAUGUGAAAGGCAGGGGCUUAACCCCUGGACUGCAUUGGAAACUGUCAGUCUAGAGUGCCGGAGAGGUAAGCGGAAUUCCUAGUGUAGCGGUGAAAUGCGUAGAUAUUAGGAGGAACACCAGUGGCGAAGGCGGCUUACUGGACGGUAACUGACGUUGAGGCUCGAAAGCGUGGGGAGCAAACAGG
rnacentral:rRNA from 1 species